UUUCCGUAGGUGAACCUGCGGAAGGAUCAUUGUCGAA
rnacentral:rRNA from 1 species